UGUUAAUAACAUCACGUAGAGCAAUCUCUAUUCAUGUAGGCUAUGAUAAUUUUCAAGAGUCGAUCAAAGUUCCUUGUCACUGAUUUUGUCAAUUGUGAACAACAACAACAACUACUUUCCGCUUGAAGCGAUUUUGAAUUAAGAUAAGCCAGUGGACAAAGAACGGGAAAGUGGAAUCUGAUCAGAACGCUUUUGCAUGAUAAGAAAAAAAGCGUUAGCCAUACCACCUGUGGAUUKAUUAGGCGACAUUUAGCAAAACGAGUUUUACAUACCGUGGUCGGGCAGUGAAGUCGAGAAAAGCCGGUCUGAAAAGUGAUCAUCCGACAGGUUCAUUGACCUACUCCAGCCAUCUCUACUUCUACUUCACACUUUUAAAAAUCAAGAUGAGGUACAUAUGUAUAGCUCUUAUGCUUGUGGCGAUGACAAUGAUUAGAUCCAGUCYAGCGCAUCCGGCCGAUCGUAUAUUUCGACGAAGCUUUAACGAACAGUGUAAGCCCCUUCGUGUGUCUAUUGAAGUAAAGAAGCAUGACUGCCAAACUAGAAGAAUCCCUUUAAAUCAAUGUACUGGUGUUUGUUUGGGCGUGGAUUACCCCGCCAUGCCAAGGCGGUCAAAAUGUACAUGUUGUGCUCCAACCAAGACGCAAGUGGUUACAUACGAAUUGUUCUGCAAGCGAAAUGGAAAUUGGGGAAAAGCACGGCAUUACGUUGAUGAUCAUGUUAGCUGUUCUUGCCUUCCAUGUUAAACUUUCAAAAAAGCUAUGAAUUGAAACACAACGACUUCCAAUCAACACUUUCAAUCAUAUAUUUUUCCGUYAUUAAUGAAUYUAUUUGAGAYUUAUUGMUAUUGAUUAAGAAAAUAAUACAUUUUGAAAUAGCUGUAAAAAUGAUGUUAAUUUUUGUUAUACUAUCAACUUAUCUGGAUAUUGAAAUAAACUUGAAUUUGCUACAUGAAAAAUUGGGCACAAAUAAGCAAAAGAUUUAUUUCAACAGAGACAUCCUAUAUAAAUCUGUUGUAAU